GUGGGGAAUUUUGGACAAUGGGCGAAAGCCUGAUCCAGCCAUGCCGCGUGCAGGAUGAAGGCCUUCGGGUUGUAAACUGCUUUUGUACGGAACGAAACGGUCCGGGUUAAUACCCUGGGCUAAUGACGGUACCGUAAGAAUAAGCACCGGCUAACUACGUGCCAGCAGCCGCGGUAAUACGUAGGGUGCAAGCGUUAAUCGGAAUUACUGGGCGUAAAGCGUGCGCAGGCGGUUUUGUAAGACAGGCGUGAAAUCCCCGGGCUCAACCUGGGAAUUGCGCUUGUGACUGCAAGGCUGGAGUGCGGCAGAGGGGGAUGGAAUUCCGCGUGUAGCAGUGAAAUGCGUAGAUAUGCGGAGGAACACCGAUGGCGAAGGCAAUCCCCUGGGCCUGCACUGACGCUCAUGCACGAAAGCGUGGGGAGCAAACAGGAUUAGAUACCCUUGUAGUCC
rnacentral:rRNA from 1 species